UGUGUCUAAUUCGCUAGGCUGGAACAAUGGACAGUAUUUCUACAGUGCUUACAAACCAACCUUUCUGGGUCACUUAUGUGCCUAUAGUAACUGUAUUGCUGCUCUCCUGAGUGCUUGUGAUGGAUAGCUCAGGCUUAUAUGAGCUUCCUCACCUCAAGACGAAAGAGAGACGAGAUCUAGAUCUAAGGGGAGGGGUGUGUGUGUGUGAUGACCUAUAGACUAACAAGUCGUCCUCGUGUUUACAGAUGACAAUCAAAAACUGUUAAAAUCAUCUUACAUAGGUUUUAGCGGACGCCUAUCAUUAUUGCAUGUGUUAUUAGCCUGGAUGUAAAGUGUAAGGCAUACUAUAAGAAAGUGCAACUUCGAAGUAUAUUCAUUGGCCCGUAAUUUGUUUGGUUAACUUGAUCCACAGUAAGAACGUUAUCAUUACACAUUGACUACACGAGUCCUGAGGGCUCAGACAUUACCUUCUUAUCACAAAAAGGGCACAGUGUAAUAAAAAAAAAGCUGUCUAAUAAACAAGGUCACAUAUUGGAAGACAGGAUAAUGUUGCAGUACUUUAGCACGACUGUUUAGUUAAACCUCCUCUUUUUGAUUGAUGUUUACUGGCUCCGCCCUGUUACUGAAAUCUGCGCGAGGCGCUAACGGCUUGUUAAAUAGUUCACGUUUGCAGAAAGCACUGAUCUCAGAACAGUCUGUCGCUGUUUCUUAUCAUAGCCACAGAUCGCUAUGAGCGGGAUGAAACUGAUCCAAGAACGUUGUAAAAACAGAGCAGCUGUAACGCUCAAAACGCAAGCAGCGUUUUUUUUUUAAUGAAAGAGAGAAUGAGUACAAGAAAUAAUGCCAGUGAAUUAAUUUUCUGCCUUGCCGUUGCAACAAUUCUGGUCCAUCUAUAAGAUGGUGUCCAUAUUUUAAAAUGUCUCGCUUUCAAAUUAUUGUUGCAACAACAAACAUGGAGGACUAAACGCCUCGUGAACGAAAAAAAACCCAAUUCAAAUUACCCACUUCUUAUUUCCGCUUUAUGGAUACCGUCCUAUCAUCUUAACGUCUCAACACGUUAAGUGUAUACAAGUUCCUACUACACAGAGUCAAAUAAAUGAAAAAGAAGUUAAAAUAGUUCCUCACCAAGAUGGCCGACCAACGGCUCCGUAUGGCGUCUUGAAGUCUCCUGAUUGGAUGAGGCAGUGGAACGAACGCAGGCUUGACGCUUUGCGAAAGCUGAUUGGAUGAAAAAAAUGUCAAUUAUUCGAAAAUACCGCGGGGGAGGUCCGUGGAAAAUGUGGAGCUGGAAUUCUUGUCUGGAAUGGGUCUGGGUGAUCUUUAAACGCACACGAUCUUUAUCAUUAUUUCAUAGAAACUCAUUUAAAAUAAAUUUAAACUUGUUAUGUAUUAACUUCAUAUACUGAAUGCUAUUACACUCCGAGAAGGCUAUAAAACGUUCCUUUACACACCUUUAAGAGUUCAGCAAUUGCAUAAGUCUGUAUAUUUAAACUGAUGGUGGAGGGUGUGUGUGGGGAAGGGGGGCGUCUAGAGUACCUGUAAAGUGUACCCUAUACAGUACCUGUAGAGUACCUGUAAACCUUGCACUAUAAGGUAAUUAAAGUCCAUCUACUUGCCUUAAAUUAUUUUUGAAAGGCACAUUAUAACCAGCUCAAAGAUGUAGAGUAAAAGUCCUAAGUUUAUCAAUCCAGAGACAUAAGUUCACAACUUAAACAUGUUUAUUUUAAUAAUAAACAAUAAUAUAAUUUCACAGAAUGUAAUAACUGUUUUUUUUCACUUACUCACCUUCAAUACUGCUUUUGUGAAAGGUAUUUUCACAAACUCUUGUAAAGUCAUUUAUUUAAACAGUUUAUCUGACCACAAAACAGUGAGAUCAACUGAAAUAUAGAGAAGUGAAAUAGCAUCAGUUUGUGUGUAAAACCACUACUGCCAAGUUUGCAAAUUUUACUUUCGGUACUUUAGUCAGAUUAAUUUAGCGACUUUCACAUUUUCCACUUUCACAUGGGAAAACUUUCACUUUUAUUUGCAUACUUCUCCAUAUAACUGUUUAUAGAGUAACUUGGUUUAAAGGUUUCUCAGUACUCUGUGGCUUUUUCACUUUGUCAUGCAAUGUGUAUCUUUCUAGGAUUCAGGGUCUGUAAGAAAAGAAAGGUUUAUGUAUUUUUUCUAAAAACUGCAUACUGUCUAUAAAUGUACAUGAACGUAAAGGUUUAUUUAUGUAUGGGUUGAGGAUUAGUUAUAGGAUUAGUCAUCCACCCAUAUCCAUCCAGCCAUCCAUCCAUCCACACACGCAUCCAUCCAUCCAUCCAUCCAUCUAUCCAUCCACAUUUGCUUAUCUCUCCCCCGGUGGGAAAAUAGCAACAUUUUCAGAGUAACGACUACAGAAGUAUACACUCCACAGGAUAAGGUAGUGUAGCUCAAUGUUGGUUCUGAAGGCUUGGAGGAGUGUGAUUUCAAAUCAAAAAGCUGCCACAGAAAACCAGUUGUCAGAUUCUGUAUUUAGAUUAAAAAAAACAAAAAAAAACAUCUGCCCAAUGAAUUAAAAUGUAAUGACACGCUUAAAUACAAGUAAUUAUGGAUUUUAUCAUCAGUGAUGUUUUUUUUUAAUUUUUGCAUGAUUAAUCAAGGGUGGCACAGUGAUGCAGAGGGUAACGUUGCCGCCUCACAGCUGCAGGGUCUAGGGUUCAACCCUGAGGUCAGGUUGAUGCAUGUACCCAUGUGAGUUUCCUCCAGGUUAUCUGCUUUCCUUCCAUUUUCCAAAAACAUGCUGGUAGUGGAUUGGCGACUUUAAAUUGCUCCUAUGUGAAAAUGAGUGUGUGACUGUGUGUGUGCAUGGUGCCCUAUGAUGGACUGGCAUCCCAUCCAAGAUGUAAUUCUGCCUCAGGCCCAGUGUUCCCAGGAUAGGCUCUGGAUCCAUCUCAACCCCAACAAGAAUAAACUAGUCAGCUUACUGAAGAUGAAUGAAUGAAUGAAAGAUCAACAGGUGAGAGUGAUAUUUUGACAAGAGUAUGCAGUUUCUAUAGUGAUAUUGGCAUGGAAAACCAACCUGUCACUUAAUCUGAUCUGCUCUGUAUAGUGUAUACAUUAUUAUUCUAUAGAAGUUAGAAUUAUCAGGAAAAAAGAAAUGGAAAAAGGCUUAGUGGCUGCCCUCUACUGAAAUGAAAAAGAACACACACCCUCAGCAUUCCUCUCUCUCUCUCUCUCUCUCUCUCUCUCUCUCUCUCUCUCUCUCUCUCUCUCUCUCUCUCUCUCUGUCUCUCUCCCUCUCUCUCUAUCUCUCUCUCUCAGCUUUGUCUGGUCUAAAGUCGUACCAUGAGAGGGCAGUAUCUAGGGUCUGAUUCCUACUAUAAGGACUAUUUUGAGUUACAAUAAUAGCCCGGCUGGAAAUCCCCCUGCCUUGCUGCUGUCUGGUACGAUAGGUCACGUGAUUUUAACCAGUCCCAGAGGCCAUGAGUUCUGACGGCCCUCAUCUCCCCAGCUGCUCCUGCCCCCUACCUCCGAGACUCCCUUAUUACUACUGAACAGGACCAGACAUCUCUUGGGAGGAACAUAAAGAGCCAGCAUUUUAUGGUAGACAGGCACUGCCCCUUGACUAUGUUGGAGAUUAACCAGUGUAUUUAUGUCAUUUUAAAUAAUCUAGAUAGAUUUCUUACUGUCGUUCUCGACUUAAUUAUAAGUUCAAGUGACUCAGAGGAAAAAUUAAGUAUAUUUAUUAAAUCAUGCAAUCAGCACCAGCACUAAAGCUGUCUCCUUUUAUGAAACUGAAUAUUGUGCUAAAUUAUAUGUAUUGGUAAAACUACAACCUCACUGUUAAACCAGUUGUUCUUAUGUGGAUUGGAUCCUAUAUCACAUUUCUUGUAUGCACAUUUACAUCUGGUCCUGGUUUAGAAACAGUGUGUGGUAGAAGGAAAGAAAACUCCAUUGUGUUAUACUAUAUAUAGACACAACAUGAAGACAAUUUCGUGGGUAUGUUUAUUUUUAGCAUUGAAAUCACAUAAUGCCAGCACUAAAUGUCAGUAGCAUCCGUGUUUGGAUCACAGCUUCAUUUGAAUUGAAUGUGCUUCAUAGUCAACAACCUUCACCUUAGGCUUUGCGCUGGACAAUGAAGAACUUUCCAGGACUGUUUUUCUUCUCCUGCUUCCCCCUCGCUUUUUCUCUUCCACUGAAGUAGCAGCACUGCCAAGACUCAGCCCCACUGCCUCUUAUCCCUCUCUCAUUUUUCAUUUUUAUUUAAAUAUAGACUUCAUUCUUCCUGCAGCUGCUCCCACAGUUUUCCCACAGCUAGGAGAGCAGCAGAAAGGCUGUCCUCUAAACCCGAGGCAGGAUCAUUCAGGCCGGGUGCACACUGUCCCCGCCCUCUUACCCACACAAACAAACAAACUACCUCUCCUGGAAUAGACCAGCACAUCAUGCAUAGCCAUUGUAACUGCAUUAGGGUCAUUUCUAAUUCAGUCUAGAUCAUCCUCUGGUUUUACUUAUGAGUAGCAAUGGAAAGGAGGAAUGAUAAGCUUGAUGAGCUCAGUAUGCAUGCUUGCAUUUCAUCUUGGUAUCAAAAUCAAUUAUCAGAUUACUUAAUCUGAAUUUAAAAUCUUUUAUGACUUUAUUUGAAUUUGUAUGUGCAGAAUUAAAUCAAAUUACAAUGAGAUUAUAUUCCAUAGCUUGAAUGAUGAUUCAAGCUAUGGAAUGAUGAUUAUGAGCAGUGACAGGCGAAGUGAAUAACAUUGAUUAGCUCCUCAUCAUGGCACCUGUUAGUGGGUGGUAUUUAUUAGGCAGCGGGUAAACAUUUUGUCCUCAAAGUUGAAGUGUUAGAAGCAGGAAAAAUAGGCAAGCGUAAGGAUUUGAGCAAGUUUGACAAGGGCCAAAUUAUGUUGGCUAGACGACUGGAUCAGAGCAUCUCCAAAACUGCAGCUCUUGUGGAGUGUUCCCAGGCUGCAGUGGUCAGUAUCUAUUUUUGGCAGCAAAAGGGGGACCAACACAAGAUUAAGAAGGUGGUCAUAAUGUUAUGCCUGGUUGGUGUAUAAUCAGUUUAGAAAAUGUAACUAAAUGUUAGGCAACACAAUCCACAUUCACAUUCAGUUUCAAAUUCUCAAAACUCUACAUCUGGGGACUUUUUGAAAGGAGUACUGUUUCAGUCAAUGUCAUUUCAUCCAAAGGUUCAUGGCAAGGUGGUCAAGUAGAAAUUAUUAACUAAACUUCACUUACAGAUUUCAAAACAAAGUCAUACAUUUUCAGAUUUGUAAAUGUAAAAUGUUGAUGUGCUUUUCAUGUAAUCAACUCGGCUAAACAUCAUUCCCAGAGCGCAUCAGAAUGUUACUGUUAGCUGUUUGCAUUAAUUAUAUUAUAUUGUAUUAUAUUAUCCAAAAUUAUUGUUACUACUUAGGUUGAGGCUUGAACACCGAAGGUUUUGGAGUGUUAGUAAUUUUAAUAUUUACUUAUUAUGUCCUGGUGUGGAUAAAAACCAAGGUGCUGUGAGGCUCAAAAUGAAACUAGAAUUGUUGAACUGAGGCCUCAGUGUGAUACGCAAUUCCUUCCUGUGCAGUUUUGCAUGUUAGAAAAACAGCUACUGCAGGUCAAGGCAAGUCAGCAGACUUUACCACAUGAGCAAAUAUUGCACUCUAACGCAAAAUUCAUGUUGUGUUCUCACUGAUCUUUAUGUACGUAUUUCUCAGCUAGUCUGUAUGUGUAUGAUGUGUAGAGGCCAUAGAAUAUACAUUAGUCUAAUGCCCUCUCAAUAUCACAUGAAUGAUUUGUUGUUUAGAAGAUCAGUUCUGUUCAAUCAUCCAUUGUCUCACAUUUGGUUUAUCUGACACUGGAAACAGAUUCAUCAGAUAAUUUAAUGAUUUAAUGCAAAAUAUUUAAUGUCCAGAGCUCCUCCUGAACCAGCAAGAACCAACCAGAUUUUCUUCUUCGAGUGCCUAGAUGGUGCUGGUGAGCACUGAGAGCUGUGGGAAUGCUACAAAGCUGCAGACCUCACAGUUUCAGCUCACAUUCAGGGGUGACAGGUAAGAAGAGUGCUCACAGCUCAUAAGUUCUCAUCAGGCGUGACAGGACUAAAUCAUUAUGACUACACUGAGCCCUGAUUUUUAGAAAAGACACAAUCUCAGCAGCUGGACAUAUUAAGACAUCCUGAGCUCCACACAGUGGAAGGGAUUGGGAAUGUCAUGACAUAUGAGUAAUUGUUCCUUCCUGGUCAUGGACAUCCACAUUGGAUGGGGCACCAGGUGGGGGAAAACUGACACACAGACACAGAGAGAACACAUGAAACUCAGCACAGAUGAUACCCGAAGGUCAGGACUGAACUGGGGACCUUGGAGCUGUGAGGAGGCUGCACCAUUAUGCUGUCUUGCAUGUGUACAUGUAUGUAAUAUUCUUUUUUUCUCUUUUAUUUAUUUUCUGUACUUCUUGCACAAUUGCAAUUAAACAAUUUAGAUUUUAAAUCUGCGUACCUGUGUUAAAAUCAGUAGCUAUGCCCAAAUUGCUCAAACUGGAAUCUUAGGAGGCUGUUAUAGAAUGGAGAACACUGAGAAUUCCUGCUAUCAUGGUCAACGACCUCCAUCCCAUCCAUAACAUGUAAACAGAGAAGCACUUUUGGCAAAAGACUGUGCUAAGGAGCACACCAUUAGAUCACUCCUCUGCAUGUCAGUCAGGCUCUGUAAUGAUCAUGCCCUCUGGCUUCUGAUGUUGUUAUUCUGAACACCAAAAAAACCAUGUGACGAGUGCUAUGUUAACUCAUAUUACCUGUUCCACUAUAAUACUCGUCUAUAUUUAGCAUAUUUGUAUAUAUGUUAAUACCUGGUUAAUCUGAUCCUUUUUUAUUUUUAUGCUACUGUAACAAUACAUUGUCCAUUUAUAUAAAAAAACAUCCAUCCAUCCACUCAAACAUCCAAACAUCUAUGUAUUUUUUUUUUAGGUCUGUUCUGUCUAUUCUUAGGUCAUAACCAUUUUAACAAGAAAUGCACCAUAGUGGUUUUGUCAGCUAAGGUAAUGCCUCGUUUACUUUGCUUCACUGAGCAAUAUUGCCUGGGGUUGGCACACUUUCCUGAAGGAAUUUCCUGUGUUAUACACAGUAGCCUAAGGAGAUGAUUAUAACCUCUUUUGAACCAUGUAGUUCAUAGAUAUUUGAAUAAACAUAAUUUCAUAUUUGAGUUUCUUUCCCCAAGGCUUGUCAUUAGCAUUUAAUUAUCGUCAGAGUUGGGGGUAUGUGCACUAAUUUUGUUGUACUAAUCUACUGAAUUAUUAUACAAAUAUUCAAACUCACAGCAGGAAGUAAACAGGUUGUAUGUCUUUUAUGGGACAUGCAUUUCAAGUGAAAAUUCUGUGGCUAUUUAUAGAUUACAUUAGAAGAUUUUUUAGGAGGUGUAACACUAGUUUGCAUAUAAAGGCAUAACAUUUCACUAACAGCUGUCUAGUUAAGUGUACACUGGCAGAGAGCUAGCACUGCUUGAGGUGACCUUAGAUGACAUAUAUUUCAGUUAUUUCAGAAAUAUUCUUAGUCAGUUCAACCCAUUCAAUCUUGGAAUGAAUAAUAUGCAGAUAUGUCACCUUUGACAGUAAUAACUGCAGAUAUCAUUGCAUUUUCUUUUGUCCUGGCUUCAACUCAAAUAACGUUGACCUGUAGAAAUCUACUCACAGUCAUUACUCAUUUACGAUCAGAUGCAGCAAACCAUGUUACAUUUCUCGUAAGCAUGUAAAUCAUUAGCCAUAGGGCAUUUUUAAUGAUUUUUUAAUAUAAGACAAACAUUCUUAUUCCAUUUAGUCUAAUGUGCUUUGUCCUUGCAACCAUGUUUUAACUGGAUCCUUUUCAUAGUAUAGUUAUGAAGCAUGACCAUACACUAUGGAAGUCUAUGUGAAGAGAGACAGUCCUGGUCCACAUUCGACACAGCAAAUAUGAUGGUUGCUUACCAAUUAUUCUGGUUUGUGUGUGUGUGUGUGUGUGUGUGUUGUCCACUAACUAUCCACAGAGAAGUAAGUAAAUAAAGCAGGUGGUGAAAGAUGGCAUAUGGGUGUCCCAGCUAUUAAUAUUUAAUCUUGGCUAGAUGGCUGAAGAGAUAAUCACUUAAAAAGGAAUGUGCAAAGGGAGCAGCAUUUUGGCUACAGAAAGUAAAUGAAAACACUGUGAUUCACAUGGGUCUACAGUAAAUAACGCUUGCACAUGCAUCAGAGGAAGACGCACAGUAAACCUUUACAAGAUCACGUGUGUGUGUGUUUAUCUGUCAUACAAAAAUAUAUCAUAAUAUUCUGUCAUAAUAUAUAUAUAUAUAUAUAUAUAUAUAUAUAUAUAUAUAUAUAUAUAUUUUGCAGCAAGUAAACAGUCAUUUGUCAAAGUUGAUGGGCAGGAGUAAGGAUAUAAGCAACUUUGACAAGGGUCAAAUUGUAAUGGCUAGAUGACUGGGUCUCCAAAACAGCAGGUCAUAUGGAACAUUAGUACAAUAUUAACCAUGAAUAAAACUUUUGAACCUGUCGUUACUGUCUGUAAUUUUGCAUGUUCUGCCUAUGGGUUACCUUCAGGUUCCUUCAAAAGGUGGACUGGUGACAUUAAACUAAACUGACAGUAAGCAGCUGUGUACAGUGUUUCUGGGAUAGGCUCCAGAUCCUCCACGAACUCUGACCAGGAUAAAGAGCUUGCUGAGGAAUGAAUGAAUAAGCUUAGACUUAAGAAAUAUAAAGCUUUCACAGUUUCCUACUGCACAGUGAAGGUGAUCAUUUUCUCUUUGGAAUUAAAUGGGACAGUGAGGAUCCUCACAACUGUGCAACAUCUAGAAAUUGGUCAUUCAAAAGAAAGUUAAUUAGUAUUUCAACAGAAUUUUUAAUUUUAAAAUUAUGAGGUUUUGAAUGAGGACUUAAUGAGGAUUGCCACUAUAGUCUGAUUCCUGUAAUGAUGGUUUUAGCUGUUCUCAAAAGCCACAUUUUUUCACACGUAUUUUCUGUAUGAACAUGGGAGGAUGGCCAAUGCAAGCAAACAAUUUUAACAUCACCUGCAUAAUAUUAUUACAAGCCAAAGAAAACCCAUUAUUUUGAGUUAAACUAUAUGACUGUGUUUGCGUUGUCUUUUUUUAAACACUGAGUAUUAAAUCGGGAUUAGGGCCGGUUAAAGCAGCUGGAGACGAGCUAAACACAGCUAGUAGUAAUCACACAUAAUCCUGUAAGGGUGAUCUUCCACCAACCUUUAAAGGACUACAUACCAUGGCCAAUAUGUAAAUAGACAAAUAGAAUAUGCUUUUUGUUGUUUUUGUGUUUUUCUUUUGUGAUUUUUAGAAAUAUGUAGUCUGACAUUCAGAUUUUAAAAGGCUCUUGCUGUCAAAACAAAUAAUUAAUGGAUACAAUGAAUGGCACUCCGACAUAUAGCACUUGAAAUGGCUGAAGUGCCUUUGAACACAGCAUGAAAUACAGCACAUAAUGUUUUUGUAACCACCGUUGUACUUAAGACAAAAAGCUUCAAGCUAUUCAGGUGAAUUGUAGUUCAUCAACACAAGGUAGUUUUCCCACAGCUUCAUUUUACACAUAAUGCCAGAAGCAAUAGAGCUAUCAUUAUGCUCUUUAUCUAAAUGCAGGACAGCAAAACACCCCUUUAAAAUACUUAAACAGGGGUAAAACAUGCCCUUUGUUUUAACGUUUUUUUAAUGUAAUCAAAAAUAUAAGAUGAUUAUAACCCUGCAGAUAUACUGUUACUGUAUAAAACAGAGUCAGCAUCAUGUUUUACAUUCCAACACAACACUCCAGAAGCAAAAAGUUUGGCCUGCACCUUCACUUUUCCAACCAUAGAAAAAAACCCCAACAAAGUAGAGCUUUAUAAGUAUGCAAAACAUACUGGAACACCCUCUUUCAAAACACUUUAUACACACCUGAACAUGGACAGGAUUAUGAAUAUUCCUCUUAAGUCUAUAUUUGAAUAAUGACUCAGUAGCGAGACUUGAGAGCAAACUGGUUUCCACACUUCACACUUUAACCUCACACUGCCGUUUACUUUUUCUUAUUCAGGGAAAAGACUCUUUCAGUCAUUACGGAGAUCACAUGGUGUAUUCAAUACUUCUGUAAUCGCAACUUUCUCAUGUCCUCAAAUUUAGAUAAGCAAGCACCCAUAAUGAUAAUGCAAGGAGAAACAUAAGACAGAGGCAUGGAAAAAAUAUACAGCACAGUGGAUAAAAAGAGGCAGUGUAGGGAGGGGAGAGGUGAAAAAAAGAGGAAUGAAUUUGCACACAGUGAAUACAAAUUUAUAUAUAGUUGUACUGUGCAGGAUUCAGUUUCUAGCCCUCUGCAAUCUGAAUCCACACACACACACAAAAAAGCAAAAAGCUCUGUCCAUGAGGAGGAGGGUUGCUGGGUGGCAAAGAAUAAUAAAUGUGAAUGAACAGAGGGCCAAAACCAGUUGAGCUCACAGGAAGAAAAGCAGCAACGAUUAAAGUAAUGCUUAAGUGUUUCUUCCAACUGCAUCACUGAGUGUGUGUGUGUGUGUGUGUGAUCACCACAGACAUUCUGUCAUGUUUCCCUCUACUGAAAAAAGUAAAGGGAAAUCACUUAUAAUGGAAGUCCACGGGUAAAUGGUGCAGCAGUAAACAUUUUAUGCAGAAUAUUUUUGUAGAACAUUUUCAUGAAAAUAUUAGCAAAUGAAGCUAUAGGUUUAUUUUAAAAAAAUCCUGGGAGCUGGGACUACUUUUUGUAGAGGAAGGAAUGUGUGACAAGCUAGGCUAGUUAUUUAGCAAAUACCAGCUAGGAAUGAUAAAAGCGUUGUUAUGGCUACAGUGUGCUCAUUGCAUGAGAUGCUUUUUCCCCCAUACCAUCAUAAAACGUGCUCCUAUCUGUGCUUCUACUGAAAAGAAAGAAAGAAAGAAAGAAAGUCUCAAUCACUACUGAUUCACUCCAGUUUUUGAUUUUAAAAAAAGAUAUAAUUAUUUAAGGGCAGAAUUUUAAUCAAAAAAUCCCUAUACUGUCUAUACUCACUACAAAGGGAAUUGUUUGUGGUGGUCAUGCACAGAGAUGUUGGGAAAUAUUUAGGGAGUACUCUUUUAAAUAAAGAGAACAGUUGCUUGCCCAUAAACAGGCAUAACAUUCAGAUUUAGUGUAAAGUGUAAUACAUCAGUUACUGAAUCUUGUUCCUAUUUCUCUUUUUCCCACAGGAAUACUGAAGGUCUAUGUUAGAUUGAGAGCUAAUAUGAGAAAUGCUUUCACUAAACAUUCUGAAAGCACAUGCCCACAGCCAGUUUCCACUAGACUCGGGAACAGCUGAACCCUCCGGCCCACUUCAACCCACCACCAUCUCCUUGUGACUAAUCAACAUGCAUGCACACUUACUGCAAAACAAGUGCUCUGAAACAUGCACAUGGUAGAAAGAUAAUAACUGGUGAUGACCCUCUUGGCAUUUCUUCUGUGAAGAAAAAAAAUUGCGAUGAGGUUUGGCAUUGAAGAGGUGACCCCCUUCAACCCCCCAUACACACAAAGAGAGAGAGAGAGAGAGAGAGAGAGAGAUGCCCUGUCAUAUUUUCCAAUGUGUGAAAAUAUUAAUAUGAAUAUUAAUUAAUAAUAUUUACCAUUAAAUAUUAAUUAAUAAUGUUUACCAUUUAAUAUGAAAUAAUAAUUCAGUAUAGUAUGAUUAAUGUAAUACAUACAACAUCUCUGUGGAUAUUUAGCAAUCUUUAUCAAUCACUUUUAAUUACACAUAAAAUAAUGAGUUCUUGGUUUGCCUGCAGAUGUCAAGAAAUCUCAUAAACGAGAUUCUGUGAUGAAAGUAUUACGACCACAGAGAGACGAUGCAUAUCUCCCACCAUGUGUGAAAUGACAAGGGUCAGUGGUGUGAUAGAAGGCCCCCUCCUACAGACAUUUCGAUUAAUCAUUAUUCCAGCAUGAAUCUCUGGGGAGAACAAGCCCUACUCAACCCGGACUGAGACAUUCCUGCAUGAACAUUUGAACCUGGCAGCUGUGUCCACAUUACCGUCUAGCUAGUUUGUGCUGAUUAUGUAAUCAUUUUACAGUCAGAGGACAGCUCUGUGGUGUGGAGAUACAAUAAACAGUUUAUUAUCAUAAAGGUCACUGCUGAUGUAUCUCAUACUUGAGGAUGCGUUUGUUCAUGAGCAAUUUGUAAUAUAGUCUGAGAUUACAAUGCAGGAUGCUCUUCAAAAAACACAAGGUGAUGGACAGGAUUUUAAGAACAGGACAGGAGAGAGAGGUUUUUUAAAGGCCUGGUACUGUGGAACAGCCUUAUAACAAGUGUAAAAAACACUUUAUUCACUCUGACCUUUAGCUAAGUUCCUUUGUCUUUCUCUUAUUCAUAACCAAAUAGAAAACAAUAUUAAAAAUAAAGAUUUUUGUUACCUCAUGAAUCAGUGCAGGAACGCUUGCAAGAAAUGUAAUCACCUGCAUGUUAUGUUAAAGGUCAGCUGAUCAUUUUGUUGUAAACAUACCAGGAGAAUGAAGGAUUUCUCAUUUUGAGACACUUUAAUGUCAGUAUUAAUGACUGUUUUAAGCACUGCUAGUUGUUGGUCUAAAACAAUAAAGUGAAGAAAUACAAAAAUCCAUGUCCAAAACAUCCUGUUCUUUAGGGGAUGAAAAUUUAAGUGUGUCUCUCCAUCCAUCCAUUUUCUGUACUGCUUAUCUUACACAUGUCCAUUUAAAAAGAAGCAAGAUUUUUUUACUUUUGCUUGAGUACUUUUUUUGGCUGGAUACUUGCACUUUGAACCGAGUGAGAUUCUGACACAUUGUCUGCUUUUUCACUUUAUAUAAGGAUAAUUUCUCAGUACUUUAUCCAGCCCUGAAUAUACAGCAGGCUUCUGCUGUCUAGAGCCUCAGACCUGACCACAGCCUGUGUUGCUAUGAUUGGUCACAGGCUUAUUUCCUUGUCCUCACCACAGGAAGGGCAUGCACACGAAAACAGGAAGCACUCCUAGACUCAGAGAGCUCCUGCGACUGUGUGAUUUACUCAUCUAUGCUCAUAUCUGCAAAUGAUUCAGGUUCCUUGAUCUAAGAUAAAGUGAUUCAGUUAUAUAUGCCUGGCUAAUUAUUGCUUAAAACACAAAUAGUGCAUAUUUUCUUAUGUAAACAAACAGUUAAGGAACAUUUUGCCUGUUUAGUAAUGUCACAAUCAUUCCAUAUUUACCUAAUCAAAAUUAGUUCAGCUGAUUAUGACAAACAGUAUCAUGUUUACUUUUAUUUUUUUCAACUGUUUUGCCACUAGGUUUGUCAUGUUAACACAGUAACAUUUACACCAAUCAGACAUAACAUUAUGACCACCUGCCUAAUAUUGUGUUGCUCCACAUCUUGCUGCAAAAACAGUCCUGACCCGUCAUGCACUGUGUAUUCUGACACCCUUCUAUCAGGACCAGCAUUAACUUCUUCAGCAAUUUGAGCAACAGUAGCUCGUCUGUUGGAUCAGACCACACAGGCCAGCAUUCACUCCCCACGUGCAUCAGUGAGUCUUGGCCACCCAUGACCUUGUCGCCGGUUCACCACUGUUCCUUCCUUGGACCACUUUUAAUAGAUACUGACCACUGCAGACUGGGAACACCCCACAAGAGCUGCAGUUUUGGAGGUGCUCUGAUCCAGUCGUCUAGCCAUCACAAUUUGGCCCUUGUCAAGCUUGCUCAAAUCCUUACGCUUGUCCAUUUUUCCUGCUUCUAACACAUCAACUUUGAGGACAAAAUGUUCACUUGCUGCCUAAUAUAUCCCACCCACUGACAGGUGCCAUGAUGAGGAGAUAAUUCUCAGUGUUAUUCAAUUCACCUGCCACUGUUCAUAAUGUUAUGCCUGAUCGGUGUAUUUAUAACUAACCACUGAAUCAUAGCAUUUUAUUUACUCAGGUUUUGUUAUAAUAAUGUCCCAUUCUAUUCUGUUGAACAUCUGUGUAUUUUAGUAUCGUGUUUUAUAUAUUUAUGCCAAAGUAGUGUUCAAUUUUUGAUUCUGUUUGAAGUUGUUGAUUUAUUUUGUAUAUCAUCAGUUGACAGUAGUUCUGGCUGAAAGGGAAUUUGGCAAAAGCUCAUGGAUCAAAAAUGGACUUUUAUUCAUCAGUGAUUUGAAACAGUCAGUAAAUAUUUGACCACAGGAAUGUUUUCACGACAGAGGACUUUGGAGCUUAUGUUUUCUCUGUAAGAUGACAGUAUACAGUUUUACAAGUUUGAAGAGAAAGAAAGGACAUGACAGUUUAUAGCUGCUAUAAUGAAAGUGACAAAAGGAAUAAUAAAUAAAUGAAUAAAUGUAACUAUACUCUGAUUAAAAUUAUGUGUCACUCUUUUGUCAAUUAAAUAAUAUAAUCACUGUGUAAUUGCUGUGGUAUAAGAGGAAUAAAACAAUUUAUGCUGUUAUAGAUAAAUCAUCAACUACGGGGUGGUAACAGGUAACAGCUUUGAACUGUCAAACAUUAUACAACCGAACUGUUGGUCAUUUUCUUAAAAGAGUACACCAUCAUGUGUUUUAUACCGUACCUGUUAUCUGGUUCAUGUUUUACCUUUGUCAUUUGGAUCAUGGUCUAGCUUAAAUUAUACAUACUCAAUGUUGAUAAAUGGCUGCUUUCCAAAUGGUGGCAAUGAAUUUAUUGUUCUUAAAUUAUAAAGAACAGCUAAAAAAAACAACACAAAAAAAGCCAAUAAAUAUUUAAAGUGAGUUUUCUUUGCUCGAAUCAUGCAACAGAGAAGACAAGUCAAUCCCUCAUCUUCACUCACUUUAUAUCUUCUCAGUAGAAAUGAAGACACAAGCAAUGUUCUAACAUGUAUAUAAUCUGUCUGCAUAUGCGCCAGACUUUUUUUUUAAUUUCACAUUUGCAUUCAGAUGAAGCCAAGACAUGAGGAGCAUUAGCUGUAAUGUAGAAACACUGAUAGAUUAAUCCAGUGCUCUAAAAAAAAACAUUUGUUAUAUUAGGGCCUAAGUAGAUAGGCAUGAAUGUGAAUGGGACGUGCUCAAGUGAUGCGCUUCAACCUGGGACACAAUUGUCUGCUCGGAUAAUGAGCAUGGAGAGCAGGUUAAUUAUGUUUACGUUAACGACGGCAAAAGUGUUCUCAGAGCUGACAUUUCAACUCACACAUGCGCACUAGAGGUGUAAAGUAUUUCAACGAUGUGUAUCGGUUUAGUGCUUUUAAUAUUUGUAUCUGUAUUUGUACUCAAAUAUAAACCAGACGUAUUAAUGGUCCAACAGGGGAAGGCUUUCUUUCUGCAACAGACAUAUACAUUGGACUGUAUUUUAAGAAAAAGAUCUUGCUUGCAUAGUUAUCACCUAUCUACCUUAAGUUGGUUCUGAUUUCUUUUUGCAUUGUUUAUUGUAAAUAAGUGUAACAAAAGUGUAUUAGGUUUAAAAUAGCUGAAUUUGAAUCAAGCUCAAUAAAAAGUGUGACUGAGAACAAUAGAACCUUUUUUACUUUUGCAACUACAAUUUUAAUUUAAUGUACUGUUUUUCUAGUUUUGACUCACUAUCGAAUUUUGAAAAAUAUACACAAACUAGUAGUCUAAUUUCAAACACUGUGACAGUGAUCAGGGAGGAUAAAAAUAAAAGCUCAGUUGUUAAUUUGUUGGGCUCCUGUUCAGAAAAUCAUGAGUUCAAAUUCCAGGACCACCAAGUUGUUAUUACUGGGCCCUUUAGAAAGGUCCUUAUGCCUUAACUGCUCAAUUGUAUAAAAAUGGUAUAAAUGUUGCUUUGGAUGGCUGGCAAAGGCUGUAAAUACAAUGUCCACUUUAAUAAAUAUGGUUUUGUUCCAUGAGUUUCAUACAUAUCUACUCACCCUCAUGAAAUUUACAUAAAACACCCUACCGCCAGGGUGACCUUUAUGUCACACUAGGAUCCCAGUCCACGCAAGCAACAAUAGUGCACCUCCUGCUCAUGUUUGUAUUUGUAUCAGUUUCAAAUAACAAAUCUGUUCAUUUUGAAUAAUAUAUAUAUAUUUUUUUUCAUUUCAGUGUGCACACACAGUCUUCUGUCCAUAAUAUUAAAAAAAAAAAAAGCUUUAGCACUGAAGAUACAUUCUCUCGAAGAGUGUUUAUAUUCUGAUGACUGCAACCAGAACCACUUAAACAUCAAUCUCCAGCAUCAGUGCAGAAAACACAUUGAGCAAAGAAUGCAUAAAUAGAGAAAAAGUGAGAGAUGGAAGAUGAGAGGAAGAAGGUGGUAUGAAAAGAAGACAGUAUAGAGAGUACAAGGGAGGGAGAUAGAAAAGGAUGAAAGGGGCCAGAGAGAGGAGAUGCACCGGACUCCUUUAUCACUGUGUCAGUGAGGGGGAGGGGCUGCACUGUGUCCCACACCUCGGCCAUGUGUGGCCCACCACACACACACACUCAUACUCACACACACUCACAAUCACACACACACACACUCUCUCUCUCUCACACACACACACACUCUCUCUCUCUCUCUCUCUCUCACACACACACACACCUUUAAUGAGCUACAGAAACCAUGCAGGCACACAGAUUGUACACGUGAUCUCGACUUGUCAGUGAGAUGUGAAACUGGCUCUCAUUCGCUCCUCUCUCUCACUCACUCUCACACACACAUACACACACGCUAAAUAAUGUUCUCAGCUUCUUGCCACCAAACUACCUUUUUUUUUUUUUAAACAUCAUUUAAAGGACACCUAGUGUGAUGUAGACAGCAAUUUACAUAUCUAUGAUGCUUACUCAGUAGGAAAAUGAGACUAUUAUAUCCUUUGCAUGUAGAUGCACUGUGGCCAUUGUGUAUUAGUUAACCAAGAGCGCCAUCUUUAGAUUUAACACACUGUUCACUGCCCUUGAAAAGCUCUUUAGACAGGAGAAAAUCUUUAAGAGACUCAAUAACACGCUCUGCCGCGCAGUGAUGUUUACUUGCAUUUACACCCUCGCUCUCUCACACAACACAGCUGAUAUCAGUCCAGUCUGUGAUACCAUUUAAGGGAAGCAAGUAGAAAGGCGCAGCAGGGAUUAAAAUGGGAUUAAUACGAAUAAAGGCAUUAGACAAUUUCCAGCGGUUUAUCAUUUAGAUUGAACUGAGCUAAUCAGUGACAGUUCAAAGCUACAUUAAUAACUGAAAGGCCAACGUUACAUUUGCAGUACAGAUGUUUUCAAAUAACGGCGACCAUAAUGGAGCAAGAUGAUGUAAAACACACCAAGGGAAAUGAACAGUGAAGGGAUCCUGCAUAAGGGACACACACACACACACACAUACUAUCCUUGCGAGGACCUUUUACUGACAUCCCCAAAUCUAACCUCAGUAACCUAAAAAGGAAUCUUUUGUCAUUUUGAGUAUAUUAAAUAAGAUCUGCUUGUGUUGAAAAAAGCAGUUUUCCUCAUGAAAAGGAUCACAAAAGGAAGAUAUUCCUAUCCUUGAGAGGACAUUCGGUCCCCACCAAGAUAUAAACACACACGCGCGCGCGCACGCAGGCACGCACACGCACGCACGUACUCGCACAAAAAAAAAAACUGACAUUGUAGUAUUUCUGCCUGUAGGCUCUGCAGGAAUAGCUGCUGAGCCAGGAGGUACAGUUACCACGGCAACCAGAGCUCAGUUCUCAUAUCACGACCAGUCACCAUGGAAACCGGCCCAGAGCGCCUGUCGCAGCGUGAGGUCAGCAGCGUUGCUAAGGGAACCCACCAGCUGAAGCAAUGAGCUCGUGUGAGAGGCGAUAAAAAGGACACUUAUGUCAAUCAAUGACCACUUUAAUCUGUCAAUUGGUACAAUCAAGUGAACGCCACGGGCACGUCACAUCCGCUGGAACGCUGUAAUGGGUUUAGGGCAAUGAAUCAUUUGGAAUAAUAAUCAAUCCUGAGAUGAAUAUUUAAGGAAUACGAGGUGACAUCCAGAAUAAACAGGAAGUGCCAUUCUGUUUCAUCCAUGCGGGAGGAGUCGUGCACGAGGCUACAGUGGAUGAGGGACGCCUGCAAGGGCUCUAGGGAGCAAAAGCUCCUGAGCAACAGACCUUCAUGAAUAAGCAUGUGGCCCCACCUCCUCACUCUCAAUGGGGCUUUUCAUCAGACACACAUUGUAUAGGGGCCGGCAGAGAUGAAUGCAUGCCUUAGAAACGCGAGGCAACAAACACACACGCGCUGCUUUACACGCUCGAGCCAGAGGCGUGUGGUCUGGCUUUGGGUGCAGCCCUGCAUUCGGCUCAGUCCAUAAAUACACAAUCCCACCUACUCGUGAAUUAGACUGGAGGACGUCUUUUACUGAACGGACUGGUGUUUGGCGCCACCUGGUGAUCUGUUUAACCAGAUGAGAUGAGGACACUUGGAAAGAUGCAUAGAAAACAUAUGGAGGGAAAAAAAAUUAUUUAUGUGAUAUAAUUACUUGCUUUUAAAAAGGCAGGGCUAGGAAAUAUUCUGGUCUUUGUUCCUUAGCAAUCCAUAAUUGUAAGCAGCGAAUAACACACUUUAAAAUUCAUAACUUACUUAAUGUUGACCUAACAAAUUAACAUAAUUUGUUGAUCCAAUUACUCAUUUCCAACACCGGAAAGGAACACAUCAUGUGUAUGUACACUCACUGAAAUACUCCACCAGGUGCCGUAACACAACUUUCACUUCUUAUGUACCCAAACGUCUUAAUAUGAUCUGAUUAUAUUUAGACAAUACAGAUCUGCGUUAAGAACUUUAAUGAGACCGCUGAUGAGCCCUUAAACAGGCAGUCAGGAACUUUCAUGUCUUCAUCCACUUAGCUCAGGCUGUUAUAAAAAGGCAUGUUAAAACAGACUGAGCCAGAUGCACAGACAAAUAAGAUGUUGCCUCAUGCCUAAAAAUAUAACACACACGUCAUUACGAGGCAGACAGAUGUGGAGGCAAAUUGUGUAGUUUUAUCUGUGAAAAGAAAUGUAAAAAUAGUUGACAAGGAAGCAAGCACAGAUGAGGAGAUGAAUCAGGUGUGCUGAGCACUGAUCCAGAUCCAUCUGCACAGCACAGGUGGUCCUUUGGUCAAAAAAAAAAAACAACCCUUGAAUGAUGCAAGUAUGAGACUGAGAGGGAUCUGACAUUAUGAGGACUUUCAUCUUCAGCGACUUACAAGUGAGGCAUGCACAAUUCAUGCACAUAGCAGAGCAGUUUUUGCCUUUGCUCCUGUGUGUGUGGAGAGAUUCCAUGUUCUCCCUAUGCUUCAGAGAUUUUCUCCAGGUACUCCGGAUUCCUCCCUCAGUCUAAAGACAUGCUGUAGGCAUCUCUAAAUUGUCUGUAGUGUGUGAAUAGGUGUGUGAGUGUGUGCAAUCCAGAGUGUCUUCUGCCUUGUGCCCAGAGUCCUCUACCUUGCCCAGCAACCCUUUGUAGGAUAAGCAGUACAGAAAAUAAUUAGAUGGAUGGAUGCACGAACAUGCGAGGAUCCUCCUUUUCAUC